rnacentral:rRNA from 1 species
GCGGCGAACGGGUGAGUAACACGUGAGUAAUCUGCCCCAGGCUCUGGGAUAGCCACCGGAAACGGUGAUUAAUACCGGAUACGACAACCGAUUGCAUGAUCUGGUUGUGGAAAGUUUUUCGGCCUGGGAUGUGCUCGCGGCCUAUCAGCUUGUUGGUGAGGUAAUGGCUCACCAAGGCUUCGACGGGUAGCCGGCCUGAGAGGGUGACCGGCCACACUGGGACUGAGACACGGCCCAGACUCCUACGGGAGGCAGCAGUGGGGAAUAUUGGACAAUGGGCGGAAGCCUGAUCCAGCAACGCCGCGUGAGGGAUGACGGCCUUCGGGUUGUAAACCUCUUUCAGCACAGACGAAGCGAAAGUGACGGUAUGUGCAGAAGAAGGACCGGCCAACUACGUGCCAGCAGCCGCGGUAAUACGUAGGGUCCGAGCGUUGUCCGGAAUUAUUGGGCGUAAAGGGCUCGUAGGCGGUCUGUCGCGUCGGGAGUGAAAACCAGGUGCUUAACACCUGGCCUGCUUCCGAUACGGGCAGACUAGAGGUACUCAGGGGAGAAUGGAAUUCCUGGUGUAGCGGUGAAAU